rnacentral:rRNA from 1 species
UACGAAGGGGGCUAGCGUUGUUCGGAUUUACUGGGCGUAAAGCGCGCGUAGGCGGAUAUUUAAGUCAGAGGUGAAAUCCCAGGGCUCAACCCUGGAACUGCCUUUGAUACUGAAUGUCUAGAGUGUGAAAGAGGUGAGUGGAAUUCCGAGUGUAGAGGUGAAAUUCGUAGAUAUUCGGAGGAACACCAGUAGCGAAGGCGGCUCACUGGUUCACUACUGACGCUGAGGCGCGAAAGCAUGGGGAGCAAACAGG